UAGCUCAGUUGGUAGAGCAUCUGACUUUUAAUCAGAGGGUCGCAGGUUCGAAUCCUG
rnacentral:tRNA from 1 species